GAUGAACGCUAGCAGCAGGCCUAACACAUGCAAGUCGAGGGGCAGCACAGAAACAGCAAUGUUUUGGUGGCGACCGGCGGACGGGUGCGUAACGCGUAUGCAACCUACCUUUAACAGGGGGAUAACGGAGAGAAAUUUCCACUAAUACCCCAUAACAUCGAUCAAGGCAUCUUGAUUGGUUGAAAACUCCGGUGGUCAAAGAUGGGCAUGCGUUGUAUUAGGUAGUUGGUGAGGUAAUGGCUCACCAAGCCUACGAUACAUAGGGGGACUGAGAGGUUAGCCCCCCACACUGGGACUGAGACACGGACCAGACUCCUACGGGAGGCAGCAGUGAGGAAUAUUGGUCAAUGGGGGCAACCCUGAACCAGCCAUGCCGCGUGCAGGAAGACAGCUCUAUGAGUUGUAAACUGCUUUUAAACAGGGAUAAAGCACAGUAUGUAUACUGUGUUGAAGGUACUGUAAGAAUAAGGAUCGGCUAACUCCGUGCCAGCAGCCGCCGCAG
rnacentral:rRNA from 1 species